GACGAACGCUGGCGGCGUGCUUAACACAUGCAAGUCGAACGGUAAGGCCCUUCGGGGUACACGAGUGGCGAACGGGUGAGUAACACGUGGGUGAUCUGACCUGCACUUCGGGAUAAGCCUGGGAAACUGGGUCUAAUACCGGAUAGGACCACUGCCUGCAUGGGUGGUGGUGGAAAGCUUUUGCGGUGUGGGAUGGGCCCGCGGCCUAUCAGCUUGUUGGUGGGGUGAUGGCCUACCAAGGCGACGACGGGUAGCCGGCCUGAGAGGGUGACCGGCCACACGGGGACUGAGAGACGGACCAGAGUCCUACGGGAGGCAGCAGUGGGGAAUAUUGCACAAUGGGCGCAAGCCUGAGGCAGCGACGCCGCGUGAGGGAUGACGGCCUUCGGGUUGUAAACCUCUUUCAGCACCGACGAAGCGCAAGUGACGGUAGGUGCAGAAGAAGGACCGGCCAACUACGUGCCAGCCGCCGCCGUAA
rnacentral:rRNA from 1 species